AUUGAACGCUGGCGGCAGGCUUAACACAUGCAAGUCGAACGAGUGGCGGACGGGUGAGUAAUGCUUGGGAAUCUAGCUUAUGGAGGGGGAUAACUACGGGAAACUGUAGCUAAUACCGCGUACCAUAGGAUGAGCCCAAGUGGGAUUAGGUAGUUGGUGAGGUAAAGGCUCACCAAGCCGACGAUCUCUAGCUGGUCUGAGAGGAUGACCAGCCACACUGGGACUGAGACACGGCCCAGACUCCUACGGGAGGCAGCAGUGGGGAAUAUUGCGCAAUGGGGGCAACCUGACGCAGCCAUGCCGCGUGAAUGAAGAAGGCCUUCGGGUUGUAAAGUUCUUUCGGUAGCGAGGCGUUAACUACAGAAGAAGCACCGGCUAACUCCGUGCCAGCAGCCGCGGUAAUAC
rnacentral:rRNA from 1 species